GKGGGGKGCYWAWAMUGCAAGUCGAACGCUUCUUUCCUCCCGAGUGCUUGCACUCAAUUGGAAAGAGGAGUGGCGGACGGGUGAGUAACACGUGGGUAACCURCCCAUCAGAGGGGGAUAACACUUGGAAACAGGUGCUAAUACCGCAUAACAGUUUAUGCCGCAUGGCAUAAGAGUGAAAGGCGCUUUCGGGUGUCGCUGAUGGAUGGACCCGCGGUGCAUUAGCUAGUUGGUGAGGUAACGGCUCACCAAGGCCACGAUGCAUAGCCGACCUGAGAGGGUGAUCGGCCACACUGGGACUGAGACACGGCCCAGACUCCUACGGGAGGCAGCAGUAGGGAAUCUUCGGCAAUGGACGAAAGUCUGACCGAGCAACGCCGCGUGAGUGAAGAAGGUUUUCGGAUCGUAAAACUCUGUUGUUAGAGAAGAACAAGGACGUUAGUAACUGAACGUCCCCUGACGGUAUCUAACCAGAAAGCCACGGCUAACUACGUGCCAGCAGCCGCGGUAAUACGUAGGUGGCAAGCGUUGUCCGGAUUUAUUGGGCGUAAAGCGAGCGCAGGCGGUUUCUUAAGUCUGAUGUGAAAGCCCCCGGCUCAACCGGGGAGGGUCAUUGGAAACUGGGAGACUUGAGUGCAGAAGAGGAGAGUGGAAUUCCAUGUGUAGCGGUGAAAUGCGUAGAUAUAUGGAGGAACACCAGUGGCGAAGGCGGCUCUCUGGUCUGUAACUGACGCUGAGGCUCGAAAGCGUGGGGAGCAAACAGGAUUAGAUACCCUGGUAGUCCACGCCGUAAACGAUGAGUGCUAAGUGUUGGAGGKUUUCCGCCCUUCAGUGCUGCAGCAAACGCAUUAAGCACUCCGCCUGGGGAGUACGACCGCAAGGUUGAAACUCAAAGGAAUUGACGGGGGCCCGCACAAGCGGUGGAGCAUGUGGUUUAAUUCGAAKCAACGCGAAGACCCUACCAGGUCUUGACAUCCUUUGACCACUCUAGAGAUAGAGCUUUCCCUUCGGGAMAAGUGACAGKGYGCAUGGUUGUCGUCAGCUCGUGUCGUGARAUGUUGGGUUAAGUCCCGCACGAGCGCAACCUUAUUGUUAGUUGC
rnacentral:rRNA from 1 species